UCGGGAAUUUUGGGCAAUGGGCGAAAGCCUGACCCAGCAACGCCGCGUGAAGGAUGAAGUAUUUCGGUAUGUAAACUUCGAAAGAAUAGGAAGAAUAAAUGACGGUACUAUUUAUAAGGUCCGGCUAACUACGUGCCAGCAGCCGCGGUAAUACGUAGGGACCAAGCGUUGUUCGGAUUUACUGGGCGUAAAGGGCGCGUAGGCGGCAAUUCAAGUCAUCUGUGAAAUCUCCGGGCUUAACUCGGAACGGUCAGAUGAUACUGCUUUGCUAGAGUGCAGAAGGGGUCAAUCGGAAUUCUUGGUGUAGCGGUGAAAUGCGUAGAUAUCAAGAGGAACACCU
rnacentral:rRNA from 1 species